UUUUCUUUUUAUAUGGAGUGGUUCCAUUUUUCUUAAAAUCAUGGGUAAGAGGGACUUUCUUGCAUUUCUUGAUUUGCCUUCUCUUUUCACCACAUCCCUAACUUAGGCUUUUGACUUAAGUUGACUAUUCAAACUAACCAAAACUUCAUGAGGAUUAUGGGUGAUGGGUUAAGAAAGGUCUAGUUUUCAUCAAGUUUCUUCCAAAGAAAGGUAAGGCUCAAAGGGUGUUCAAAAGAGUUUCACACGCUCACGAGUAGGUCACAAAAGAGGUAUAUGUCAAAUUGGCUCCCACUCUUUAAAGUUGCCUA
rnacentral:lncRNA from 1 species